rnacentral:sRNA from 1 species
GGGGCUUCCAAAUUGUAGGGAUCUAGCGAGCCCACCUCCCACCCGUGUUUACUGUAACCUUAGUUGCUUCGGCGGGCCCGCCUUUAAGGCCGCCGGGGGGCAUCAGCCCCCGGGCCCGCGCCCGCCGGAGACACCACGAACUCUGUCUGAUCUAGUGAAGUCUGAGUUGAUUGUAUCGCAAUCAGUUAAAACUUUCAACAAUGGAUCUCUUGGUUCCGGCAUCGAUGAAGAACGCAGCGAAAUGCGAUAACUAGUGUGAAUUGCAGAAUUCCGUGAAUCAUCGAGUCUUUGAACGCACAUUGCGCCCCCUGGUAUUCCGGGGGGCAUGCCUGUCCGAGCGUCAUUGCUGCCCAUCAAGCACGGCUUGUGUGUUGGGUCGUCGUCCCCUCUUCGGGGGGGACGGGCCCCAAAGGCAGCGGCGGCACCGCGUCCGAUCCUCGAGCGUAUGGGGCUUUGUCACCCGCUCUGUAGGCCCGGCCGGCGCUUGCCGAACGCAAAACAACCAUUCUUUCCAGGUUGACCUCGGAUCAGGUAGGGAUACCCGCUGAACUUAAGCAUAUCAAAGUCGGAAGGAAAC